CAGUAGCCGCGGUAAUACAGAGGGUGCGAGCGUUAAUCGGAUUUACUGGGCGUAAAGCGUGCGUAGGCGGCUUCUUAAGUCGGAUGUGAAAUCCCUGAGCUUAACUUAGGAAUUGCAUUCGAUACUGGGAAGCUAGAGUAUGGGAGAGGAUGGUAGAAUUCCAGGUGUAGCGGUGAAAUACGUAGAGAUCUGGAGGAAUACCGAUGGCGAAGGCAGCCAUCUGGCCUAAUACUGACGCUGAGGUACGAAAGCAUGGGGAGCAAACAGGAUUAGAUACCCCUGUAGUCCCUGUCUCUUAUAC
rnacentral:rRNA from 1 species